UAUUCUUGUUAGAUAUUAUUUAUUAUUUCUUUGUUGUAUAUGUAAGGUUUUGCUUGUUUAUUUAGUUUAUUUUGAUCUUUAAUAGGCAUAUUAAUUAAUAAGUUGUUUUGCAGUAUUUAGUUUUUUAAUAUUUAGGUAAUUAAGAUUGAGUUAUAGUAUUUAGUUUCGGUUAAAUUUGUGCCAGCAUCCGCGGUUAUACAUUGGAUGCAAGUAAAUAUUUAUAGUUUAGCAGUUAGAAUUUAGUUGUUUAAUUUUUAUAGAUGUGUUUAUUGGGUGAAAUUUUAAUUUUUUUUUAUUUAUUGGUUUGUAUUUUUGAAUCUGUGAAAUCUUUUUUUUAAACUAGGAUUAGAUACCCUAUUAUUGAUGAUGUAAAUUAUUUUAUGCUUGAGUAGUAGUAGUUAUGAUCUUUAAACUUAAAGAAUUUGGCGGUAUUUUAGUCUAUUUAGAGGAAUCUGUCCCGUUAUCGAUAUUUCACGUUAGAACUUGCUUAAUCUAUGUUUAUAUACCGCCGUUGUUUUAAGGGGAAUCUUUAUUGGGUGUGGAAUUUUUUGAUAACUUUAUAAUAGUUUUAAUUCAGGUCAAGGUUUAAUUAAUGAUUAAGUGGAGAUGGAUUACAAUAAAAUUAAUUUAUUAUGGAAUAUAAAUUGUAAUGUUUAUAUGAAGGUGGAUUUAAUAGUAAUUUUAUUUAAUAUAAUUUGAUGAUUUUGGCUCUAAAAUAUGUACACAUCGCCCGUCGCUCUCAUUUGUUGGUGAGAUAAGUCGUAACAUAGUAGUUGUACUGGAAAGUGUUGCUAGAUUGUA
rnacentral:ncRNA from 1 species